rnacentral:misc_RNA from 1 species
UUAAGUUCAGCGGGUAGUCCUACCUGAUUUGAGGUCAGAGCAAAAAAUGUCAGAAGACGGGUUAGAAGCAACCUUCCGGCUUGCACCAGCGAAACUUAUUACGCCAGAUUCAACCGUGGAAUCGCUAACUCCUUUAAGGUGAGCCAAGAACGGCAACACCCAAGUCCAUCAUAUCGGAAACCCGAUGGGAUGAGAUUUCA